GAAAAAAAGAUUAAAAAAAAAAAAAACAGGGGCGUAGAGAACCUUGAUAGAAGGAGGUUGAGAAGACAUCUUUUCUUUGUAAAGAACCUCGCCCUUGACAGGAGGGGACCUUGCCCGAUAGCAACUUCUUGAGUUGGGACCGUAAACUUGAAUAAUCAUCACAAAUGAAGAAAAGUUGUUUAACCUCUGAUAUUAUCAGUGAGCUUCCUGCCAAUAUAAUAGAAAACAUCUUAAUGUGUAUGCCGCAACGAGAUGCAGUGAGGACAAGUGUUUUGUCAAAGAAGUGGAAGUAUAACUGGGUAAAACUUCCACAACUUGUAUUUGAUGAUACAUUGUGCCAAGAAUGGACGCAAGACCAACAGUCAAAUAGAAAUAGAUUUUUCAGAUCAAAUAAAAAAACUAGAAAUAGAUUUUUGUUUACUAUAUAUCAAGUAAUGUUUCUUCACUGUGGACCUAUACUUAAGUUCACUCUCUCUAUUUAUGGACUCGAAAGUUGGUCUCAGAUUGACACCUUUAUAAUGUUUUUGUCAAGCAAUGGGGUCCGGGAAUUCACUCUUCAAAUUUGGAGGGGUGAACCCCAUAAAUUGCCUUCAUCUCUAUUUUCAUGUCAAAAGCUGACGGAUUUGAAUCUCCGGUACUGUGUAUUUACACCACCGACAACCUUUAAUGGGUUUAGUAGGGUUGUUUGCUUGGAGUUUCGUGAAGUCAUCAUCAAAGCAAAAACACUUGCAAGUUUGGUCUCCAGUUGUCCUCUACUUGAACAAUUGACACUUGAAAGUCCCACCGCUUUUGGCUGUCUUGAAAUUGAUGCUCCUAAUCUCAAGGUCCUACACUUGGUGGGGAUUUUCAACUCUAUUUGUUUCAAGAAUACAUCCCAUCUCGCAAUUGUUUCAAUGCGUUUUCCCCCCAAUGGGAUGCGAUUUAAUGAAGGAGGGACAUUUGACUGGUUAAUCUUUUUCGUAGCCUACCUGUUCUUGAAAAUCUGCACAUGGCCGGUUAUUAUGUGAGGUCUUUGGGUGCAGGCAUUGCCCAACACAGGCGUCUUCCGACUUUAACGUACCUUAAAAUUCUGAAGUUAUCUGAUAUAUGUCUUGAGUUAGCUGAAGAUGUCCGUUGUGCUUUAGGCUUGAAUAGAUUCUCCCCAAGAUUGCAUAAACUUACAAUUGAGGCAUUUUCCAGCAGGGACUGUUUUUCAGAUUCUGUUGUGAAAUUGUCUGAAUGGAGGGGCAAGUUAAAUCUCUAUUUCAAUGAGCUUCGAGAGGUGGGGAUGCAUAAUGUAUUUGGUACUAGUUAUGAAUUAGUAUUCAUCAUGAUUCUGUUAGACAAUUCCCCGAUAUUGGUGACCAUGGUUAUCAAGCCAGAUCCGACAAAGGUUUCUGAUGGAGGAUUGAGGAUCUUGAAAGAGGUGUCACAAUUUCGACGUUUGUCACCCAUGGCGAAAAUCACGUACAAAGAUCCAGAUGCAAACCAAGUUUAGUGCGGGAUGUCAUGUAUUUUGACCAUUUUAUGGCAUUACAAGAGGGACUGUUUGAUGGCAUUCCAUGUUUUUGUUGGUCCAAGUUAAAAAGCAAUUAUUUUUGACUGAUGCAAUUGGUUUUGAUGAACUGUCUUCUUUUAAGUUUUGGGAAGAAAAUGGUUCACAAUGAUGCUUUUCUUGAUCGAAAAUUUAGGGGGCAUUAUUUUAACGUUGUGUAUAUACCAGGAUUGAACUAUAUAUAUCUCAUCUUUGCUGUUGCUUUAUUUGA